CGGUUUCCGUAAAGCGACGGCGCUGUUCCGUCAGUUGCUGCAAGCCUAGUGAUCGCGAUGCCGAGUGUAUCAGCAGCCAUGCUGUCCCAGAUCAUUUGAGAGCUACUUGGUUGGAGGCAAUCGGGGGUUCGUCUAGCGACACAGUUCUUCGGGUAUGCUCGCGACAUUUCGCUCCGGAUGCUUUCAAGACGCGCACAAAGGUCACGGGACGUCUGCAACUGAGACGCGGGGCGAUCCCUACGCUGUUCUUACCGACGGCAACAGCAGCAAGUGCAACAUCAUUGCUGCCAAGGGGAUCAAAACUGAAAAGGCUAGCAGCUGCGUCUAGCAGUGACAGCCCUGCUGGAGGCUCCAUUUCACAACCGGCAGAAGCGUGGCAAGGGCAAGCGGCUGCACAUGGAUCCUGCGAUGCUAGUCAAGGAGCUGGACCAGAUGUACGAAGCCUUUGUACCAUUCUGGUGACAUUUUUUACUGUGGCCAUUCAACCCUUUCAUUGAUUUUGAGAGCAGAUUUUUAUAUGCAUCAGGCACACAGACAGCAGCUGCAAAUGUUUACUUUUCUGUAGGUUGCUCAACUUCUCAGCUGGCCCAAAUAGAGUUGACUCUGUGUGCAGGAGCAUUAUAUUGCACUCAGCCUCCCUUGCAUUGUGUUGUAGGCUUACUGCUCCCGGUGUUCUGCCCCUCGUGCAACCGUUGGCACACAGACGGACACUACAGGAAUUGGCA